GAUCAUGGCUCAGAUUGAACGCUGGCGGCAGGCCUAACACAUGCAAGUCGGAACGGUAACAGGGAAGCAGCUUGCUGCUUUGCUGACGAGUGGCGGACGGGUGAGUAAUGUCUGGGAAACUGCCGUGAUGGAGGGGGAUAACUACUGGAAACGGUAGCUAAUACCGCAUAACGUCGCAAGACCAAAGAGGGGGACCUUCGGGCCUCUUGCCAUCGGAUGUGCCCAGAUGGGAUUAG
rnacentral:rRNA from 1 species